rnacentral:rRNA from 1 species
AUUGAACGCUGGCGGAAUGCUUUACACAUGCAAGUCGAACGAUGAAGUCUAGCUUGCUAGACGGAUUAGUGGCGGACGGGUGAGUAAUAUAUCGGAACGUAUCCAUUAAUGGGGGAUAACUAGCCGAAAGGUUAGCUAAUACCGCAUACGCCCUGAGGGGGAAAGCUGGGGAUCUUCGGACCUGGCGUUAAUGGAGCGGCCGAUACCUGAUUAGGUAGUUGGUGGGGUAAGGGCCUACCAAGCCUGCGAUCAGUAGCUGGUCUGAGAGGACGACCAGCCACACUGGGACUGAGACACGGCCCAGACUCCUACGGGAGGCAGCAGUGGGGAAUUUUGGACAAUGGGCGAAAGCCUGAUCCAGCCAUUCCGCGUGAGUGAAGAAGGCCUUCGGGUUGUAAAGCUCUUUCGCAAGGGAAGAACACUUACUUAAUAACACUAAGUGAGGUUGACGGUACCUUGAUAAGAAGCACCGGCUAACUACGUGCCAGCAGCCGCGGUAAUACGUAGGGUGCGAGCGUUAAUCGGAAUUACUGGGCGUAAAGCGUGCGCAGGCGGUUUUGUAAGUCAGAUGUGAAAUCCCCGAGCUCAACUUGGGAACUGCGUUUGAAACUACAAGACUAGAAUAUGUCAGAGGGGGGUAGAAUUCCACGUGUAGCAGUGAAAUGCGUAGAGAUGUGGAGGAAUACCAACGGCGAAGGCAGCCCCCUGGGAUAAUAUUGACGCUCAUGCACGAAAGCGUGGGGAGCAAACAGGAUUAGAUACCCCGGUAGUCCACGCCCUAAACGAUGUCUACUAGUUGUUGGUGGAGUAAAAUCCAUGAGUAACGCAGCUAACGCGUGAAGUAGACCGCCUGGGGAGUACGGUCGCAAGAUUA